AUGUAGGGUAACUCAGUCAAACCUUUUGUGUGUGUGUGUGUGUGUGUGUGUGUGUGUGUGUGUGUGUGUAUGUAUAUGCAAAUACACAUACACACAUGCGUGUAUAUAAAUAUAUAC
ensembl:miRNA Gm25996 predicted gene, 25996